rnacentral:ncRNA from 1 species
UAAAAGUUUUAUUAUGGCUUUGGAAUUGGUUAUUUAAUUUUUGCACAUGUAAAUUUUUGUGUUAGCUUAAUUUAAAUGGUUUGGCUAUAGGUUGCAGUGUGGAAUUUUAGGAAUCAAGGUUACUUGGACUUAGGAAUUUAUUUUAAUGUAAACAAAAUUUGUGCCAGCAGUAGCGGUUAGACAGAUUACAUGAAUCAAUUAUAUUUAGGUUAAUUAAGCGGUCAAUUAUUGAAUUUAUAUUUGGAUUUUUUAGGUGAAAUUUUAAAUUUAAUUAAAUUUUUUUGAUGUUGUUGAGGUUAAUAAAUUUCUUUUUUAGACUAGGAUUAGAUACCCUAUUAUUGGAAACGUGAAUGUUAUAGCUAUAAUUAUUAAUAGUUAAGGACUUUAAAAUUAAAGAUUUUGGCGGUAUUUUAGUCUUUUCAGAGGAACCUGUUUUUUAAUUGAUAAUCCACGAUUAGUUUUACUUUACUUUUAAAUUUAUAUAUCGUUGUAAAAUAAACAUUUUUUUAGAAUUUAAAUGUUUGGGAUAUUUAAUUAUAAAAUAAUUCAGAUCAAGGUGUAGUUGAUAGUAAAGUUAAAAUGGGUUACAUUAUAUUUAUAUGUGGUUUUUUUGUUUAAAACUUUAGAAUAAAUUGGAUUUGAAAGUAAUUUUUAUAUAUAUAUAAGAUGAUUAAGCUCUAGAAUAUGUACAUAUCGCCCGUCGCUUUCGUUAUAAAAUGAAAUAAGUCGUAACAAAGUAGGUUUAUUGGAAAAUGUACCUGGAAUUAU